CGCUCUGUUGCCCAGGCUAGAGUACAGUGGUGCGAUCUCAGCUCAUUGCAACCUCUGCCUCCCAGGUUCAAGCGAUUCUCCUGCCUCAGCCUCCUGAGUAGCUGGGAUUACAGGCACGUGCUACCAUUCCUGGCUAAUUUUUUUGUAAUUUUAGUAGAGACAUGGUUUCACCAUGUUGGUCAGGCUGUUCUUGAACUCCUGACCUUGUGAUCUGCCCACCUCUGCCUCCCAAAGUGCUGGGAUUACAGGCUUGAGCCCCCGUGCCUGGCCUUCACCUCUACCUAUUAUAAUAUUUUCAUGUUAUUCCAUUUUGUCAUGUUUGUGGGUCAUUUGAUGAGGGUUCACAAUAUGAAAACUGGGCAUUUUGGCCAAGAUGCAUGUAAAUGAAUACAACUCCAUGUGCCCUGAUAACUGAUUUCUAGAUCCUGAGAUGCAAGUGGCUUCCAGAGUGUCUGUAUUUUAUGAAAGUUCAUAUACAGUAAACCAUGCUAAUUGUUACUGAUACAGCUUCCUUGAAUAUAUAAAGCGAUGAUUAAUGGGAUGUUUUGUUUCUGCAGAAAACCACUGAAUUGCUUCUCCAAAGCCAAGUGACCUGUAUGAUUUGUCCUUAUUAUAUUUUGUGAACCAGUGGACUAAAACCUUUAUAAUGGGUCAUUUUUUUAGUAUUGUCAAUAUUGCUCAAUUAACAAACAUGACUCAUAUACACAGUAAGACAUGCUGCCAAGAGAUGUGCCAUUCUAUUAUAAAAGAUCAGUAGCUUCCUUUACCGACGUGUAUAUUCUAUCUAGAACAUUGAGCUAUGGAAGACUCCCACCUAAGGGAAUUAGUUUUACACCUUCAGAUAAAGACUGCUGAGAAGAGCACCCUCUGGUGUUGUCACAGAGGCAAGUGCUACCGCACAGGCAUGCUGCAGUGAAUUUAACUGAUCCUCUGUCCCUGCAACCGUUGUUUAAGGAUGCUAUUCUGAAAAGACUGUGGAGGAAGAAAACCCUUUACCCUGUUGUUCAGGGAGAAACUGACACCACUCAACUGCCUGGCACUGAAAAUGUGGCAUCCAGUCCACUUUACCAUCAGUGUUUAAGGAAACCAUCUCUGAUAAGGAUGACUGAGGAAGAGUACUCUUUGGCUUGUUGACACCAGCACAGCUGACACACCCAGAUAUCUGUUUGGUCUCCUGUGAACUUUCAACCAGGAUUUAAGGAUGCCACUCUGGUUAAAAGCUGAAACAACUUCAAGGAAACUUCAGGGAAAAGAGAAGGCCUGGAAUCUGAUCCUCCACUUCAGAGAACAGGGGUGGUGGAGUCUAUGGCCCUUCUCCUUGAAUCUGAGUGAAAUUAGUGAGUCUUUCAAUCCAAAGACUACAGUCAUACCUCAACUAUCUACAGAGGACUGGUUCCAGGACUCCCAUGGAUCCCAAAAUCCAAGGAUGCUUCGAAUCCCUUAUAUAAAAUGGCAUGGUAUUUGCAUAUAACCUACAUGCAUCUUCAAAUAUGUUAAACCAUCUCUAGAUUACUUAUAAUACCAAAUACAAUGUAAUGCUAUGUAAACAGUUGUUACAAUGUAUUGUCAAAGACAAGCUCUCCUUGCCAAUCCCUGACCAAAUGAGAGAUUCAUGAGCAAAAUAAAUAGUUGCUGAUAUUUAAGGCACUAAGUUUGGGGCAAUGUAUUACACAGCAAUAAAUAACUGGAACAGCAUAGUAAAUUCUAGUUAAAAAUACUAAACUACUAAGUUUUAGUUAACAUACAUGCUCAAGUUAAGGGUGUGGUAUACUAACAACUGCAACUUACUUUGAAAAGCAUAAAAAAAGACACUAGAAGAAGACAGGAUGGAUAGAUGGACAAGAUAGAAGACAAUAACAAAUAGAACAAAAUGUUGUGAAAUUAUAUUCUACAAUUAUUUUAAAGUCUGUGUGGUUUGAAAAAUUGUACGAUAAAAUGAAGAGUG
ensembl:lncRNA SNHG14 small nucleolar RNA host gene 14